UGUUGCAGCCUGACGGGAUUAUUUUCACCCUAGCGACGACGCCGACGCCGCGAUGUUAUUAAUUUCGACGUCAGUUAAUAUCGCAUCAUCUAAUGAAAUUUACAACCCCCCGUUAAAUUAGUGCGCGCUGAACUUUUAGCACUAACUCAUAAUUAAACGGCAUACGUUAUUAUUUUAAUUAACUCGAAGUGGAUUAAGUAAUUUUUUUUGUAUUCAUACGAAACUUUCGCAGAACAGAAUGUGAAAAGAGCGCAUUGUCGCAAAAUGUGUUAGUUCCAAAUUUUUAUUACGAAACUUACGAAGUAGGUACUAUUUAGGGUUGAAUGGAACAUAAAAACUUUGAAAAUUUACAAGGUUAUUCGAGGACGAUCCAGGGACGAUUUUAACAAAUGGUUCACCAACGCUAAAAUUGGAGAGUGUUCCAGUUAUCCAAAUCGAACUGCUCCACGGGUAGAUUCAGACGCCAUGUAAAUAAGAUGGCUACCUUGUACCUCAGUAUUGGAGUGCCCGUUAGUGCUAUGGCUCAACAAUAUACUGAGAUACACCAGCGGUUGGUUAAACAUCUAAGCAAAUAAGUGAUAAAGGCCAUGGCAAACGUACAACAAUCUGAAUGUUGUAGAAGUACAAUGGAGCUUGUAAAGAUAAGUGUCUUAAUUAAAGUUCAGUUAUGUGAAUAAUUAGUAAAAAGUGCGCGAACUUUAUUAUGGAUUUGGAGUUGGAACUGGCGAAUCUCCCGCAGGAUUCGCGCGACCUCCUAAUCGAGAUGGGUUUGAAUAACAACAGCCAUUUAAUAAACGUGGAGUUUCCCGAUUUUAAUAGUAGUGACAAGAAGGACCUCUUCGAUUUGUACUGUAAAAUAAAGCAUAAAGACAACGAGAACUUCACAAAUUUAGGCGAGGGAAAGUAUUGCAACGCGUCGUCGGAUCUGGUCCUUUGCUGGCCUCCAACCCCUGCCAACACUACGGCCUACUUGAAGUGCUUUUCCGAAUUUUUGGGAUAUAAAUACGAUGAUCGGG